rnacentral:lncRNA from 1 species
AUGAUCGGAUCCUUCAAUUUAAGAUCGGAGUUAUUGAUCUUUAUCUAGAUAAUGAAUAGAAUUUUCUAUCAAAACUUCAACCUAUUCGGAUUCUUUUACACCGUUAAACUAGCAAGUAUUCCAUACCGGCCGUUAAAAAUUGUCAAUUUUGUGAGCUUUUGAUCGUAAGGUAAAUGAUGUCGAAAAAUUAUGAAAUUUGAUUUCUAGAUGUUUCAAAUGCUCUAGAUAACGUUUAACGGUGUGGAUCGUCGAUUCGGAAGCUCUAUCAUCGAAAAUAAUUUAUGAAUAUGAGGGCGAUCGUACUCAUAAUAGUAUAGUAGCCGAACUAUAUAUAUAUAUAUAUUAUAACUGAUUUUCUAUGCUUCCAAAAGUUAUUAGUGUUUCUAAGUUUUUGGUUAUUGGAUUAAAAAAUAUACCGUUAGUAUGGUAGUGGCUAUGAGGCUAUCUAUGGCUUAGUGGGUGGCUUGUUGAAUAGCAUAAUUUAAAAAAUAAAAUUGGUCAAAGAGAUAAAUUUAACGGUGAAAAAUUUAUAAGUAUAAGUGCUUGGUAAUUUUAAAAACAUCAUAAGUGGACUCUCUCUCUAUAUAAAGUG